rnacentral:tRNA from 1 species
GGAGUUGUGGCUCAGUGGCAGAGCGCUUGCCUAACAUGCAUGAGGCACUGAGUUCGAUCCCAGGCACCA